GGGCCCAUAGCUUAGAGGAAAAGCGUUAGUAUGGCAUACUAAAGAUCGCGAGUUCGAGUCUCGCUGGGUCCACAA
rnacentral:tRNA from 4 species